UUUCCCUCAGGGCAGCUGGAACUCUUGUUCCAAUUGUACCUGGUAAAGCAAUGCUUAGAGGUCUUGGAACUGAAGUGAUCUCAACCUGUUCUCCAACUCUUGAGUGGAUAAGAAGCCUAGCUGGCUGGGGUGGGACCCGAAUGCAAGUACUA
rnacentral:rRNA from 1 species